UACGAAGGGGGCUAGCGUUGUUCGGAAUUACUGGGCGUAAAGCGCGCGCAGGCGGCUCUUCAAGUCAGGGGUGAAAGCCCAGAGCUCAACUCUGGAACUGCCUUUGAGACUGAAGAGCUUGAGUACGGGAGAGGUGAGUGGAAUUCCCAGUGAUAGAGGUGAAAUUCGGUAGAUAUUGGGAAGAACACCGGUGGGCGAAGGCAGGCUCUGGGC
rnacentral:rRNA from 1 species